AUUCACUCGGAAAUUAAAAAGACUGAAUUUCUUAGAAAAGAGAGAUUUCUAAUUUGAUAAAUUGACAAGAGAAGGUACUAAUGCGGAUGAUACUACAAUGCACACAUUGUUUUCAUUUCUGUGCCAAUUAUAUAAACAUACUGCCACUUCAGUUGCGACAAUAUCUCUUCUCUGCGUUGGAAAUUUUGUCAAACAGUAAUGCUGAAUCUAUUUUACCCACAAAUUUUAUUGUCAAUUGAUGACUUCACUACGGAUUGGUAUUCUUAACUUGCUUUUCCAAUUUAAAAUGACAAGCGAAGCAAAUGCUUCUUGUGAUAAAUGAAGACAAAACAAAGUACCAUACUUUCUGUCAACAAACAAAUCUUCUGAGCAUCUUGGAACACACGUCACUGUAGACAAUUAUAAGUUCGAACUCCAGCAAAAUUUUAGUGUCCAGCAAAAGCUAACCAAACGGAGCCAAUUAUGCUGAGAUUUGCAUUUUUAAGAUCAGAGUGGUGGUGUUUGUCGCUCCUAAGUUGAUUUCUAUAAGAGGAACCAUAAGCGCAACAUUGUUCAUCAAGUAAACAAAGAACGCUGUAUGCAGGUUGACUAUAGUGAUUAUAGCUGAUUCAGCAUAACCGUUCAGCAGCCGUUACUUUGUGUGUAGGAUAAAUUUCUAAACAAAAACUGUAAUAUUGCGCUUUGUCUUGUAUUUGGUUAAAUACAAAAUAAGACAAAACUUAAGUUGACAAAUGUGUGGAAUAAAUCCACAUAACAGAAGGAAGAAUCAUUCUUGUCAAUAGAAGUUACUUCGGGCUAAGUAGGCCAUUGGGUAUAAAUCCUUCUCUCAACAAACAAAAAUCACGCUCUACAAGUUUCUUAUCAUGCCUGUCCUGCUAUAUGGUGCAGAAGUUUGGACAAUUGCGAACAGCGAUGAGAAGGCAUUAGAAUCAUUAGAAGACACGCGUUGGCGAUGAGUACCGAAUUAGAUAGAACGAUGAGCUGUACGAGUCAUACCGCGACUUUGACAUAGUUGAGCACAUAAAAAUUCAGCAGCUUCGCUGGCUUGGUCAUGUCGUGUCAAUGGAAGAAAGUGCUCCGGUUGGAAAGGUGUUUGGUUUGGUACCCACAGGCGGAAAACGCAGUAUAGGCCGUUCGUAUCUUCGGUGGAAGAACCAGGUGAUCAACGAUUUAGUGUCGCUCUUUCUUAUUAUUGUGAAAUCAUGCAGAAAAUUUAAAUUUAA